GUAUUUCGAAUUAUGUAUUAUGCUGACAAGAACACGUAAAAACGCGCACGUGUCAGCAAACAUUGCACACAAGGUGAAUACUGAUUUUUAAAAAGUGCAGUAUAACACUUAUUAUGAAUGAUCCUUCCGCAGGUUCACCUACGGAAA
rnacentral:misc_RNA from 1 species